rnacentral:rRNA from 1 species
AGAGUUUGAUCCUGGCUCAGAUUGAACGCUGGCGGCAGGCCUAACACAUGCAAGUCGAGCGGCAGCGGGAAAGUAGCUUGCUACUUUUGCCGGCGAGCGGCGGACGGGUGAGUAAUGCCUGGGGAUCUGCCCAGUCGAGGGGGAUAACAGUUGGAAACGACUGCUAAUACCGCAUACGCCCUACGGGGGAAAGGAGGGGACCUUCGGGCCUUUCGCGAUUGGAUGAACCCAGGUGGGAUUAGCUAGUUGGUGGGGUAAUGGCUCACCAAGGCGACGAUCCCUAGCUGGUCUGAGAGGAUGAUCAGCCACACUGGAACUGAGCCACGGUCCAGACUCCUACGGGAGGCAGCAGUGGGGAAUAUUGCACAAUGGGGGAAACCCUGAUGCAGCCAUGCCGCGUGUGUGAAGAAGGCCUUCGGGUUGUAAAGCACUUUCAGCGAGGAGGAAAGGUUGGCGCCUAAUACGUGUCAACUGUGACGUUACUCGCAGAAGAAGCACCGGCUAACUCCGUGCCAGCAGCCGCGGUAAUACGGAGGGUGCAAGCGUUAAUCGGAAUUACUGGGCGUAAAGCGCACGCAGGCGGCUGGAUAAGUUAGAUGUGAAAGCCCCGGGCUCAACC